rnacentral:rRNA from 1 species
GGAAUAUUGCGCAAUGGGCGAAAGCCUGACGCAGCGACGCCGCGUGUGGGAGGAAGCCUUUCGGGGUGUCAACCACUGUCAGAGGGGAAGAACUCCGCUGUUCCGAACAGGCUCGGCGAAUGACGGUACCCUCAGAGGAAGCGCCGGCUCACUCCGUGCCAGCAGCCGCGGUAAGACGGAGGGCGCAAGCGUUGUUCGGAAUUACUGGGCGUAAAGCGCGGGCAGGUGGUCUGUUAAGUCGUUUGUGAAAAUCCGGGGCUCAACCCCGUGAAAUGCUGACGAUACUGGCAGGCUAGAGAUCGGUAGAGGCUAGCGGAAUUCCUGGUGUAGCGGUGGAAUGCGUAGAUAUCAGGAAGAACACCCGUGGCGAAGGCGGCUAGCUGGGCCGAGUCUGACACUCAUCCGCGAAAGCGUGGGGAGCA